rnacentral:tRNA from 1 species
CCUCUGGUGGUCCAGUGGUUAGGACUCAGUGCUUUCACUGCUGGGGCCUGGGUUCAAUCCCUGGUUGGGGAA